GACGAACGCUGGCGGCGUGCUUAACACAUGCAAGUCGAACGGAAAGGCCCUGCUUUUGUGGGGUGCUCGAGUGGCGAACGGGUGAGUAACACGUGAGUAACCUGCCCUUGACUUUGGGAUAACUUCAGGAAACUGGGGCUAAUACCGGAUAGGAGCUCCUGCUGCAUGGUGGGGGUUGGAAAGUUUCGGCGGUUGGGGAUGGACUCGCGGCUUAUCAGCUUGUUGGUGGGGUAGUGGCUUACCAAGGCUUUGACGGGUAGCCGGCCUGAGAGGGUGACCGGCCACAUUGGGACUGAGAUACGGCCCAGACUCCUCCGGGAGGCAGGGGUGGGGAAUAUUGCACAAUGGGCGGAAGCCUGGUGCAGCAACGCCGCGUGCGGGAUGACGGCCUUCGGGUUGUAAACCGCUUUCGCCUGUGACGAAGCGUGAGUGACGGUAAUGGGUAAAGAAGCACCGGCUAACUACGUG
rnacentral:rRNA from 1 species